rnacentral:lncRNA from 1 species
CGUUAAUGGAGGAAGUGAGGUCAGUGUGCUUCUGACAAUCCUAACAAGAUGACAGAAUUUAUGAAGCGCUGCGGUAGAAAGAUGUAGUUAUCUGCAGUCUAUUCAUAUAAUAAGGCCACUUGGGGCCCGUCGUUACUCCCCUUGAAUUUGUUUUCCUUUCUUCAUUCCUUUUUGUUGUCCGGCUCUUCCUUUGGCUUUCCUUUCGGAUCUACCUAGAACCAUUAUCGCUUCAGACCACGUGAUAGCUAAGGGAAGCAGGCCCACUUCCUCCUAAGGAUGGGUGGCCCGUUCACUGGACUGUGUGUGAACCCCGGUAACAAGGGAGGGUGGAGUGGGCCAAGUCUUUGGGUCAGCUUUGUAUAAAACCUAAAUGUGGUACCAAAUCAGCAGCACCUGAAGACCGAGUUCACAUUUUAACUCAACCCAAAAAAGGAAACCCGUGACUGUUUUUAAAGUCCAACGUCUUUCUCAUCCCAAUGAACGAGGACAUCUCUUUUUCUACAACCCUGUGAGGUGAGGUGAAAUUGCACUGUCCCUGGGGAAACUGAGAGGCAUGAAACCAUCCUGGCCUGAGUGAUCAGUGAAGACUGGAUGGGGAGGUCCAGCUUGGUCUGCACAAGACUGGAGCAAAGGAUGAAAAAAUUUGAAAGGGAAAAAGGAAAAAAAGCACCCAGCACAGUGCCAGGAAACCAGUAGAGACCAGCACUACUCACGUAUGGACCAAGGACCCCUGCACCAGAAGCUUGUUUAAAGGCUGCCAAUUCCUCAGCCCACUACAGGAUUCUGAAUCUCCAUCAGAAGACCUACCUCUCCCCAUCAAUGGAUGCCAGGAAGGGCCAUAUGUUUCAGGGACAGAUGCCCUUCACCCGGACCUGUAGCCUGGUCCCCCGCAGAUGCUGUC